rnacentral:rRNA from 1 species
CGUGCGUAGGCGGCUUUUUAAGUCGGAUGUGAAAUCCCCGAGCUUAACUUGGGAAUUGCAUUCGAUACUGGGAAGCUAGAGUAUGGGAGAGGAUGGGUAGAAUUCCAGGUGUAGCGGUGAAAUGACGUAGAGAUCUGGAGGAAUACCGAUGGCGAAGGCAGCCAUCUGGCCUAAUACUGACGCUGAGGUACGAAAGCAUGGGGAGGCAAACAGGAUUAGAUACCCUACGU